GACGAACGCUGGCGGCGUGCUUAACACAUGCAAGUCGAACGGCAAGACCCUGCUUUUGUGUGGUGCUCGAUUGGCGAACGGGUGAGUAUCACGUGAGUAACCUGCCCUUGUCUUUGUGAUAACUUCAGGAAACUGGGGCUAAUACCGGAUAGGAUCUCCUGCUUCAUGGUGGGCGUUGGUAAUUUUCGGCUUUUGUGUAUGGACUCGCGGCUUAUCAGCUUGUUUGUGGAGUAGUGUCUUACCCAGGCUUUGACGGGUAGCCUGCCUGAGAGGGUGACUGGCGACAUUGGGACUGAGGUACGGCACAGAUUCCUAAGGGAGGCAACAGUGGGGAAUCUUGAACAAUGAGCGCAAGGCUGAUGCAGAAACGCCGCGGGUGGGAUGACGGUCUUCGGGGUGUAAAACGCAUUAGCAUGUAACGAAGCGUGAGUGAAGGUAAUGGGUAAAGAAGCACCGGCUAACUAAGUG
rnacentral:rRNA from 1 species